UGGUCAGUUGGUAAAACACAAGGCUCUUAACCUUGUGGACGUGGGUUCAAGCCCCAU
rfam:Triticum aestivum genome assembly, contig: Triticum_aestivum_CS42_TGACv1_scaffold_129525_2BL